GAUGAACGCUAGCGGCAGGCUUAACACAUGCAAGUCGAGGGGCAGCACGUCUUCGGAUGGUGGCGACCGGCGCACGGGUGAGUAACGCGUAUGCAAUCUACCUUUUACAGGGGCAUAGCCCGGGGAAACCCGGAUUAAUAUCCUAUAGUACCAUUAUAUAGCAUUAUAUUAUGGUUAAAGUUUCGGCGGUAAAAGAUGAGCAUGCGUCCUAUUAGCUUGAUGGUAAGGUAACGGCUUACCAUGGCUAUGAUAGGUAGGGGUCCUGAGAGGGAGACCCCCCACACUGGUACUGAGACACGGACCAGACUCCUACGGGAGGCAGCAGUGAGGAAUAUUGGACAAUGGGCGCAAGCCUGAUCCAGCCAUGCCGCGUGCAGGAAGACGGCCCUAUGGGUUGUAAACUGCUUUUAUACGGGAAGAAACACCCCUUCGUGAAGGGACUUGACGGUACCGUAUGAAUAAGGAUCGGCUAACUCCGUGCCAGCAACCGCGGUAAUACGGAGGAUCC
rnacentral:rRNA from 1 species